UAAGGAAUAUUGCGCAAUGGGCGAAAGCCUGACGCAGCGACGCCGCGUGGGGGAUGAAGGUCUUCGGAUUGUAAACCCCUUUCGGGAGGGAAGAUGGAAUGGGGUAACCCAUUCGGACGGUACCUCCAGAAGCAGCCACGGCUAACUUCGUGCCAGCAGCCGCGGUAAUACGAAGGUGGCAAGCGUUAUUCGGAUUUACUGGGCGUACAGGGAGCGUAGGCGGUUCGGUAAGCCCUCUGUGAAAUCUUCAGGCUUAACCUGGAAAAGUCGGAGGGGACUGCUGGGCUAGAGGACGGGAGAGGAGCGCGGAAUUCCCGGUGUAGCGGUGAAAUGCGUAGAGAUCGGGAGGAAGGCCGGUGACGAAGGCGGCGACCUGGACAGGUACUGACACUAAACUACGAAAGCGUGGGGAGCAAACAGGAUUAGAUACCCAAGUAGUCCCUGAGCGGGCUGGCAAGGCGCAU
rnacentral:rRNA from 1 species